AAAUUAAAAGAAAGGAGAAAGGAAGGAAGAAACUAGUAGUUACAUUUUGGCAUUUAAAUAUUUUCUCUAGUUCUCAUGCUACAACAACAAUGCUAUUGUUCAAAUGCCAGAUAUAGAAGCUAGUUACUGUGGACUGCUGAGAGAUUUCCAGGACAUUGUCUACAACAAGGAAUUUGUACUGCACCUGUGAGGCCGGAGGGAUCGAGAGCAGGACCUCCUCGGAA
rnacentral:lncRNA from 11 species